UUCACUGGUGACCUCCACUUGAAUGAGGACUGAGGCCUUAUGGUGGUAGAAAGAGGCGUGGCAGGUGUAGAGGCCCGCAUCCUGGUCCGUGACCUUUGAUUGGAACAACAGAGCUCCGCCAUCCAUCUGGACCAAUGAGCCAUCAUUUCUUCAACACGCAGCAGGACACAGAAGUAUCUGGGGACAUGGACUGUCCUCCUCUCCUUAAGUCCAUGGUGAUUUUGAAAGAGGCAAGUCAGGUCCUGUCCCUCGUGGAGGGCCAGUGGGAACUCAUAGGUGAGGUUGGUUAGCACUCUCACACCUUCAUACCCAGAGCGGAAGGAGAUGUGGCCUGUGGUGUUGUCAGGUAGAACCCAGGAGAGGUGUGCUCUGAUCCCGUCCCCUCUGUACUCACACACAGCCAGCCACAGAGAUCUGCUCUGCCUCGCAACAAAAACACGCAUCACAGGGGACUCUGAGGGAAGGGAGGGAGGGAGUGACAUUGUGUGGUGGUUGGAUACAAUGGAUACGUCCCUAAAUGACACCCUAUUCCCUUUAUAGUGCAUUACUUUUGACCAGGGCCAAUAGGGGAAAUAGCAUGUUAUUGGGGAUGCACAUAAUGUAUUGUGGAGAAACAUGGAUACUACAAGUCAUAAAGUAAUUUACCCAAUCCACGCAGCAGUAUCCCUCUUCUCUCUGGCCUUUCAAGACCCAGCUGAUCCACCACACAGGUGACAUUCUGACCAGAGAACUUGGAAGUGGGGAGCCUCAACACACUACAGACCGUCACAGAGCCAUUGGCAUGGUGCUCAGGCUGCCCCUGAUCCUGCAAGCGAAACAUAUGUAGAGUGAGUGUGCAAAUUAUAUCCAAAUGAUUGCUGUUUUUUUUCUUCAUUUUUGCUGUAUCUAUUUUUGAUUCCAAUCACCCUUUCAUUUGUUCUUUCCCUUUACCUGCUCCUGCCCCUCUUUAAGCUGACUGGUACUAUUGUCACUGUCCCUGUCUCCAAGACUCCAGGAGAUAGUGGCAGCAGGUCCAACACUGUCCACAGUGCACUGCACCAGUGUGUAUGCUACAUCUUCCUCCCACUCAGAGCUGGACUGGAUGGUGAUGUUAGGAGGAGCUGCAUGUAGAUAGAACAGCGAUAUAGGAUACAUG
ensembl:lncRNA